ACUGUUAAACUAACUAAAUCUGAUUGUUCUAUCACGCACAAACUGUGUAACUCCUCCCGCUCUCUCUUCCGGAUUCACAUCCCUCUCCUUCCCCCUUUCUCUUCCGGAUGUGAAUCCGAGUGCUACAUUUCUCCGAUGUUUCUUCUUCACGGAAAUUACCAGGGAGGUUGGUGGAUCGGCGGCUAGGUCGGUGGCACUGCUCUUCUUCGAGAUAUCUCCGCUUUACCAAUAUUCCACAGUCUGAUUCACCUUCAUUUCACAUGUGGAAUUGUGCAAUCAAGUACUCGAGUCCCUAGUUGUUUGUCUAGUAAUCUCAAGAGCCUCGAGAUGUUGAAGAUGGAGCCUGAUGAUGGCAUGUUUUGUUUUUCUAUAUAUUCAAUGAAGCUGAUGGUGCAACUGAAGAGUUUCUAAGCAGCUUGAUUCAGGGCACAAUGGAACAUGGCCUUGGAAAGGAAAUAGCUAUCCAGAGAGCCUGGUGGAUUUUUCUCCAACUCCAGGACAUCCUUUGAAUGUUUGCAGCUAGUGCAAAGUAAAGCAUGAAGGAACAAUGGGUCAAGAACAUCUUCCUAAAUUGGGCCGAGGAGCACCAUUUGAAGUAUGAUCGAGCAUUCAAGUUUUAUGUAAGGGAAUACAGUUAAACAUAAUAACAUGUGCGGAACAAUCCCCAAAGCUAGGAAACAUGUAUAAAGCACAGAUUAAGCAAACUUACAUUCGAAGCGUGUUUUCCACAAUAAUCUGUCAACGAACACGAACAAAGAACUCCACUUGUCGUUCCUCUACUUGGUUCACCGACACGAUCAGAUCCGUCUUGAUUAUCGUAGCUUAGACAAUUGAUCAAGAUACUUUGCCUUUUGGGAUGAACACACUAUGGAGGCACAGAGUGAAUUAGGGUUCUCUGUUUUCUCCUAGGGUUGUGUGUAUUGUGUUA